UUUCUAGGAUGGUGGACUCCUGUCUGCACUACUCCAUAGCACCGGUCAGGGUUCUGAAGGACUGGGACACUGCCUUGACUGGAUCUCAGCCUGGGUCAACUGUCAUGGAGCCAUGAAAUCUAGGAGCCAUGAAAUUCCAACAUAAAAGAAUUUAAAAACCUGUUGUAUUUUACUUCAUAUAUUGUUCAACACAUAACACUGGGGGAUUUUAGCCUACAGUGAGAACUCAUUUUUAUCUGAUACACAUAAUUAGGUCAAGUCAAUGGAUUACAGAUUAAACAAGCAGGGCAUUUUGCAAUGACUGGAAGAACUUUAUGUAUCUGAAGUCCUAAUAGUAUAUACUAUUAUAUAUGGUACAUAUGGUUUUAAAACACUGGUUAUUUAUUGACAAUUUUAGCUUGAAGUGGCCUGCAGUAAACUAGCGGCUUUUAGGGUCUUACUAAUUUACUUCACUUGAGAACAAAUAUUUCUUUACAUUAAUUUCAUGUUUGAUAACAUAUUGAAUGGUUACUGAGCCCUGAGUUUUAUGUAGUGCCAUAUAGCUAAAAUUUAUUUCUCAAUGUUAUGACCCUUUCUUUCUGUUAUAUCUGUAAGAGAGACAGAUUUAAAUAUCAUAUCACUUUAUAGAUCUGCACCAUUUUCCUUUGUCUCUCUCUUUUUUUUCUUCUUUCAUUUUAAAGAUAUAGGAUUCUAUAAUGAAUUGAAGUUUUUCAUUUACUCCAGUUCACACAUCAAUAAAUCAAGAGAAGUACUUCUGAA